rnacentral:rRNA from 1 species
GACGAACGCUGGCGGCGUGCUUAACACAUGCAAGUCGGACGGAAAGGCCCUGCUUUUGUGGGGUGCUCGAGUGGCGAACGGGUGAGUAACACGUGAGUAACCUGCCCUUGACUUUGGGAUAACUUCAGGAAACUGGGGCUAAUACCGGAUAGGAGCUCCUGCUGCAUGGUGGGGGUUGGAAAGUUUCGGCGGUUGGGGAUGGACUCGCGGCUUAUCAGCUUGUUGGGGGGGUAGUGGCUUACCAAGGCUUUGACGGGUAGCCGGCCUGAGAGGGUGACCGGCCACAUUGGGACUGAGAUACGGCCCAGACUCCUACGGGCGGCAGCAGUGGGGAAUAUUGCACAAUGGGCGGAAGCCUGAUGCAGCAACGCCGCGUGCGGGAUGACGGCCUUCGGGUUGUAAACCGCUUUCGCCUGUGACGAAGCGUGAGUGACGGUAAUGGGUAAAGAAGCACCGGCUAACUACGUG